rnacentral:misc_RNA from 1 species
AACGCACGAGACCUGCGGACCUGCGGAGGGAUCAUUACACAAUAAACAUAUGAAGGCUGCACCGCCAACAGGCGGCAAGGCUGGAGUAUUUUAUUACCCUUGUCUUUUGCGCACUUGUUGUUUCCUGGGCGGGUUCGCCCGCCUCCAGGACCACAUGAUAAACCUUUUUUAUGCAGUUGCAAUCAGCGUCAGUACAACAAAUGUAAAUCAUUUACAACUUUCAACAAUGGAUCUCUAGAU